CAUGUGAGAACGACAUCAACCGGUCCAUUCUUCAUUUUGGCUAUUUUACCAAAUUAAUGAUGCAAAUGAUUAUCUAUCCCUUGCGAGGGAUCUAGUCCAGGGGAUCUAGUCCAGAGAUCUAGUCCAGGAGUUCUGAAGACUAGGUGAAUUAAUCAAGUCCAGGAGACUAGGCCUGGGAGAAAUUUGGCAUGAUGUAAGGAGUAAUAAAGAAACAAGCUGAA